rnacentral:rRNA from 1 species
GGGGAAUUUUGCGCAAUGGGCGAAAGCCUGACGCAGCAACGCCGCGUGGAGGAUGAAGGUGCUCUGCAUCGUAAACUCCUGUCGCCUGGGACGAAUGGCAGGGGGUGAACAAUCCCCUGUCUUGACUGUACCAGGAGAGGAAGCCCCGGCUAACUCCGUGCCAGCAGCCGCGGUAAUACGGAGGGGGCAAGCGUUACUCGGAAUUAUUGGGCGUAAAGGGCGCGUAGGCGGUCCCGCGCGUCGGAGGUGAAAUCCCCGGGCUCAACCCGGGCACUGCCUCCGAUACGGCGGGACUGGAGUCCGGGAGAGGAGAGCGGAAUUCCCAGUGUAGCGGUGAAAUGCGUAGAUAUUGGGAGGAACACCAGUGGCGAAGGCGGCUCUCUGGACCGGUACUGACGCUGAGGCGCGAAAGCAUGGGGAGCAAAC